CUCCCAAACUGCUGGCUUUAUAGGCAUGAGCCACUGUGCCUUGCUCCUCUCAGUGUUUUUACUUUAAUGCCCAGUAUCAUCUGCAUUCACAGCUGGGCAGAUAUGACUCCAAAGGGAGUUACGUACCAAAUACAACAUGCAGAUACAACACUGCACUCAGAAAACCUCCUCUCAUACAAUUUCUAAGGCUUUACUACUAGGUGCUCCUGAGUUCUUCCUGCCCAUACACUUCUGGAAGGACCCCUCUCAAUCAACUGACCAGUCAGGUCUAAAUCCCAGAAAUUCACAGCUUAGACUCAUGCCUGCAUCUGUGAUAAAUUUGAAUUGAGUAAGUAUGUGCAUCUUAUUCAUCCAAAUAUCCCCUACAGGUAGCACAGAGCCUCACAUGUAGAAAAAAUAAUAAUAAAAAUAAACAUUUACUGAAUAUUGCAGACUUAUCGGUAAUAUUUUAUUUAAUCCUCAUAGAAAUUCUAUCAGGUAGAUACUAUUAUUAUUCCUACCUUAUAGAUUAGUAUACUGAGUUAUAAAAGGGUUAAUUUAUGUGUUCAAGAUCACAAGGAUAAUAAGUGGUGGGACUGGGUUUUGAACCCAGGCAGUUUUGACUGCUGAGCUUGUGGGCUUACCCACCACAUGUUCUGCCUUCCUACCCUCCACACAGAAGCAGCUCAAGAAAUGUUUUGAGGAAAUGACUGUAACUGCCUCUUGCAAAGUAAACACAUUGAUUCUUGACUUUCCCCUAGGGAUGUACAUUAAACAUAGUGGGUCACAAAAGAAACAGCCAUGUAUUUGAAGAUAAUUCUCAUGCCCCUUGGCCAUCAAGAGCUCUUCUGUUUCAGUCCUAAAGAGAGUUUAGAUAUUGGGUUCCCAAGAGCUUCUUAGGGGUGACUUGAAGCUCAGAAUGGCUGAAACAUUCCAGGAAUCAGAACAUUUUUCCAUUUCUUCUGGAGUGAGUGGCUUGUUUGAGCACUUAUCCAUUCCUUUUUAGAAAACCUUUCCAACAUUUUGUUUCUUCUGUCCUUCCCUGCAUCCUGUUUCCCAUCAAGGCCUUUAAACCUCUAUUGGCCGAUACCCGGAGAUGCCCUGCUGCACAACAACCCAAGCUCUUCACCUUUCCCUGCCUUUCUCUACACUUCUCCUGUAUCUAAUCACUGGCUCACCAUGGGCUCCAGACGGCAUGCUAUUCUGUUCUAUCCCAUCUUGGAAAUUUGCUCUUGCUUUCGCCGUAUGAUGUACUUGCUCCUGCUUCACCCUCCACCAUGAGUAAAAGCUCCCCGAGGCCUCCCUAGGAGCUGGGCAGAUGUUGGUGCCAUGCUUCCUGUACAGCCUGCGGAAACAUGAACCAAUUAAACCUAUUUUCUUUAUAAAUUACUGUCUCAGGUAUUUCCUUAUAGCAAUACAAGAAUCACUCAAUACAUACUGAUAUCAUGAGUUUCACUGGACAUUUAAAAUAUUUUCCUCAUGAGGGAAAAUUCCCACCUUGACCUGACCUCUCAUCAGUUUUAUGUAUCUGCAGAAAAAUCCUUCUAAAAGAUUGAGAUGAGCA
rnacentral:lncRNA from 10 species